AGGAAUACCGCACUGGUGGGGUAUGGAUCCGAAGCCUAUAGAACGAUAACAAAGGCUCUCCACACUCUACUCCUACUCAAUACGUCCCAGGCGUACAGAGCGGUAACAUGUCUCUCCAAAUAUCUGAGCUUGGGUAUACGGGGAAACCCAACCCCUUGGAAGGAGAUAAUCAGCAUCUGUUCUCCAUGUUAGGA
rnacentral:ribozyme from 1 species